AUUGAACGCUGGCGGCAGGCCUAACACAUGCAAGUCGAGCGGAUGACGGGAGCUUGCUCCUUGAUUCAGCGGCGGACGGGUGAGUAAUGCCUAGGAAUCUGCCUGGUAGUGGGGGACAACGUUCCGAAAGGGGCGCUAAUACCGCAUACGUCCUACGGGAGAAAGUGGGGGAUCUUCGGACCUCACGCUAUCAGAUGAGCCUAGGUCGGAUUAGCUAGUUGGUGAGGUAAAGGCUCACCAAGGCGACGAUCCGUAACUGGUCUGAGAGGAUGAUCAGUCACACUGGAACUGAGACACGGUCCAGACUCCUACGGGAGGCAGCAGUGGGGAAUAUUGGACAAUGGGCGAAAGCCUGAUCCAGCCAUGCCGCGUGUGUGAAGAAGGUCUUCGGAUUGUAAAGCACUUUAAGUUGGGAGGAAGGGCAGUAAGUUAAUACCUUGCUGUUUUGACGUUACCGACAGAAUAAGCACCGGCUAACUCUGU
rnacentral:rRNA from 1 species